rnacentral:rRNA from 1 species
AACGAACGCUGGCGGCAGGCUUAACACAUGCAAGUCGAGCGCCCCGCAAGGGGAGCGGCAGACGGGUGAGUAACACGUGGGGAUCUGCCCAAUGGUACGGAAUAGCUCCGGGAAACUGGAAAUAAUACCGUAUGUGCCCGCAAGGGGAAAGAUUUAUCGCCAUUGGAUGAACCCGCGUCGGAUUAGCUAGUUGGUGUGGUAAAGGCGCACCAAGGCGACGAUCCGUAGCUGGUCUGAGAGGAUGAUCAGCCACACUGGGACUGAGACACGGCCCAGACUCCUACGGGAGGCAGCAGUGGGGAAUAUUGGUCAAUGGGCGCAAGCCUGAUCCAGCCAUGCCGCGUGAGUGAUGAAGGCCUUAGGGUUGUAAAGCUCUUUCGCCGACGAAGAUAAUGACGGUAGUCGGAGAAGAAGCCCCGGCUAACUUCGUGCCAGCCGCCGCGGUAAGAC